GGUCACUGCUAUUGGGAUUCGACUAAGCCAUGCGAGUCGAGAGGGUUCGGCCCUCGGCUGACGGCUCAGUAACACGUGGAUAAUCUGCCCUUAGGUGGAGGAUAAUCUCGGGAAACUGAGGAUAAUACUCCAUAGAUCUAGGAUGCUGGAAUGCAUCUAGAUUGAAAGCUCCGGCGCCUAAGGAUGAGUCUGCGGACUAUCAGGUAGUAGUGGGUGUAACGUACCUACUAGCCAACGACGGGUACGGGUUGUGAGAGCAAGAGCCCGGAGAUGGAUUCUGAGACACGAAUCCAGGCCCUACGGGGUGCAGCAGGCGCGAAACCUUUACAAUGUGCGAAAGCAUGAUAAGGGAACUCCGAGUGCCAGCAUCUAAUGUUGGCUGUCCUUGUGCCUAAAACGCACAAGAUAGCAAGGGCCGGGUAAGACCGGUGCCAGCCGCCGCGGUAACACCGGCGGCCCGAGUGGUAGCCGCUAUUAUUGGGUCUAAAGGGUCCGUAGCCGGUUCGAUAAGUCCUCUGGGAAAUCUGGUUGCUUAACAAUCAGACUGCCAAGGGAUACUGUCGAACUUGAGACCGGGAGAGGUAAGAGGUACUUCAGGGGUAGGAGUGAAAUCUUGUAAUCCCUGGGGGACCAUCUGUGGCGAAGGCGUCUUACCAGAACGGGUCUGACGGUGAGGGACGAAAGCUGGGGGCGCAAACCGGAUUAGAUACCCGGGUAGUCCCAGCCGUAAACGAUGCUCGCUAUGUGUCAGGUACGGUGUGACCGUAUCUGGUGCCGUAGGGAAGCCGUGAAGCGAGCCACCUGGGAAGUACGGCCGCAAGGCUGAAAC
rnacentral:rRNA from 1 species